CCUACGGGUGGCAGCAGUAAGGAAUAUUGGUCAAUGGGAGAGAUCCUGAACGAGCCAAGCCGCGUGAGGGAAGACGGCCCUAUGGGUUGUAAACCUCGUUUGUCGGAGAACAAAACCCGGGACGUGUCCCGGACUGCGUGUAUCCGAACAAAAAGCAUCGGCUAACGCCGGGCCAGCAGCGGAGGUAAUACGGAGGAUGCGAGCGUUGUCCGGAUUGAUUGGGUUUAAAGGGAGCGUAGGCCGCAUGUCAAGCGUGCUGUGAAAUGUCCGGGCUCAACCCGGGCCGGGCAGGGCGAACUGGCGUGCUUGAGUCCGCGGAAAGCAGGCGGAAUUCGUCGUGUAGCGGUGAAAUGCUUAGAUAUGACGAAGAACCCCGAUUGCGAAGGCAGCUUGCUGCAGCGGAACUGACGCUGAUGCUCGAAAGCGCGGGGAUCGAACAGGAUUAGAUACCCGUGUAGUC
rnacentral:rRNA from 1 species